CGCUAUGCCAGGCCGGCUUUUGCUGGUCGCCGGCUUCUUAGAGGGAUAUCAGCAUCUAGCUGAUGGAAGUUUGAGGCAAUAACAGGUCUGUGAUGCCCUUAGAUGUUCUGGGCCGCACGCGCGCUACACUGACAGAGCCAGCGAGUUUAUAACCUUGGCCGGAAGGUCUGGGUAAUCUUGUGAAACUCUGUCGUGCUGGGGAUAGAGCAUUGCAAUUCUUGCUCUUCAACGAGGAAUUCCUAGUAAGCGUGAGUCAUCAGCUCGCGUUGAUUACGUCCCUGCCCUUUGUACACACCGCCCGUCGCUACUACCAUGGGAAUGGCAAA
rnacentral:rRNA from 1 species